AUAAGGAAGUAAAAGCGGCUCCUCUGGUGAUAGCCUGUUUGCUAAGUUUCCUCUCUAUCAGCUGCACAACAAGUAACAAGGAGAACUGGUCUUGUUUAAAGUCAAAGAAGCUCUUCAGGAGAGUUUGUGUCCAACAAGCAGUUUUCAGAAACAAGGUUACACAGGCAGGUUUUUGUGAGUGAGCUAAAGGCUAAGAAACUGGAGCCACAUUCAGAAGCAGAAUUUGCGUAGGAGCCAUCUUGCUCACCUGGAAUCACUUGAUGUGCCUGACAACUACAACAGAGACUUGUUAACUUGACCCAAACCUGAAAAACCAUCUGCCAGGAGCAUCACCAUCAUCACUACCAUCUGACAUCGAAUGCCUUGCUCCAGCCAUCGCUGUGGAGAGGGCCCGCGUCAUGGCGGAUGGAAAUGAUGGCGGGGGAUCCGGGGAUGAUGAAGGCUUCGG